AGAGAGAGGCGUAGAGAGAGUCCAGGCAGUAAUGUCAUCUCACUGUCCCUUUAACAGGAGGAGAGGUUGUCCAUUUCAGCAGUGGAGGUUUGGUGGAAAGGGCCACGUCUAUUGUGAGGCCCUCUCAGAGCUGGCGCUGACCUACCUGCAGGAGGGGAGCGGGUGUGCAGAGGUGACCCCCCAGCCCCAGGGGCCGUUGGAGAAGCCCCGGGGCAGAGAGGGUGCAGACGGCAGCGCUGACCCAGAGCCUAGUGAGGCAGCACCAACAGACAGCCCAUGGGGGAAGGCUGCCAGUCAGGGAGCCCAGCUGUCAGUGGCCCUUCUCAGGCAACACAAAGACAAACAGGCCCAGGCCCCGGCCCAGAGAUGGGCCAUCAGACCAGAGAGAAUUCCGAGAAAAGAGAGGGGGAACCUUCAGCGGAGUCAGCAGGGCUACGCGUGGCCAGUGCUUCCCACUGGGGAGAUCAACGAGGGUGUAAUCUGGCCACUAGAAGGUGCUCUUGUUCCUUGCAGCCUGCCAUUCCCUUUCAGUGACACCAGGGGGCGUCAGAGCUUCACGCCACUGAGGCUGGCGGUCCUGAGGAAUGGCCAGUGUGGUGACCGCACCAUGGCCACGUCUGUCACCCUUCCAAACAUCACAAGCAGCCGGA
rnacentral:lncRNA from 1 species